CGAACGGACAAUUAUUUAUAGCCUCUGGCUAUAGGAAAUUGUUAGUGGCAGACGGGUGAGUAAUGCGUAGGAAUCUACCUAGUAGUACGGAAUAGCCAUUAGAAAUGGUGGGUAAUACUGUAUAAUCCCCGAGGGGGAAAGAUUUAUCGCUAUUAGAUGAGCCUACGUUAGAUUAGCUAGUUGGUGAGGUAAUGGCUUACCAAGGCUAUGAUCUAUAGCUGGUCUGAGAGGACGAUCAGCCACACUGGAACUGAGAUACGGUCCAGACUCCUACGGGAGGCAGCAGUGGGGAAUAUUGGACAAUGGGCGAAAGCCUGAUC
rnacentral:rRNA from 1 species